rnacentral:pre_miRNA from 14 species
UUCUAUAGUGAAAGACCCCCGGAGUGGGGAGACUCUCGCUCAAGUCUCAGGAUGACACGACCUCCCAAGAACUCACACAAGACC